rnacentral:rRNA from 1 species
AUGGCCGGGGUCGAGGCGCCCCAGCGACGGCCGGGCCCUGCACGACGCCACGCGCUCGAACGCCGUGGCGUCCCCGCACACCAUCUCCGGCAUCACACGGUGCUGGUGGCCUGCAACCGGGAGAGCCCUUCGUCAGCGCGCCGGCCUGCUUGCGGGGCUAGAGACAUAGCAGUCGCGCGCCCGUCUGAGCUACACCUGAGGCUGCCUGUAACUGUUUCACGUAAGGUUUUUUUUCUCAACUCCAGGAUGAGGAUGGCUGUAGACCUGGGUGUGCGGGUUCCUCCUGCAGUGACUCGCGAGAUACGUCGUUUCGGAAUCAUUGUUAACUUGCUGUCCAUCUUCAUUGACAUUGCUCCACUUCUGCUUGUGGUUCUUUCAAAUAAUUGGAAGCGAGUGAGCAAGUUUUUCAGUCUGGAAUCUUUCACUGUUAGUGCUACUCUGAAUUUUCUGCUGCUCUGUCAUGUUCUCUUUGUGAUUGAAAAUAAGGAGCAACACCGUGACGUCUUGUUCGUUAGUGUGGUGGGUUUUGUUACGGCUACCGUGUUUGCAGUUCUUCUCCUUGUCCACCGUGUGGUAAUGGAAAAAAGCUACUCGUACCUUGGGCGCCUGUUGAUGGUCCUUGUCCUGCUUCUCUUUCACGCGGGUUCCCUAGUGGUGUUGUGCGGUAUCUUCGCAGACUAUCAGACCACUGGAUACCUCAUCAAUGGGCUUGGAUCUUUUGUGGUUCUUAUCUCGAAUGGAAUUACUCUUUACCCAGUCCUGAGUCGCAAGGGGUUCCCCGAUGACGAUACUAAGCAUUAUACAUUGAUUAUGUCCAUCAUGAACAGUGCAGAUGCCUUCUUUUUUGUGAUCUACGCUGUUUGUCUCGGAUCGUUUGGCUUUCUCUCGCAAAAGUUAUCCAACCCUAGUCUACUCUUGUCGCCCAUGGGCACAACCGUGUUCCACGUCCUGCUCUUCGCCGGACAUGGGCACGUCCUAAUCCUCGUGGGAGUCUGCCACCUGGCCAUGGACGGUCCGGCCUCAGUGAUUGUUGCGGCCAAGUGCGAAUGA